rnacentral:tRNA from 1 species
GUAUAUAUUUAGUACUUUUUAUUUUCAAUAAAUAGGACGGGAUCUUAGUUUUUUUA